rnacentral:misc_RNA from 1 species
GAUGAAGAACGUAGCAAACUGCGAUACUUGGUGUGAAUUGCAGAAUCCCGUGAACCAUCGAGUCUUUGAACGCAAGUUGCGCCCGAAGCCAUUAGGCCGAGGGCACGCCUGCCUGGGCGUCACACGUCGUUGCCCCCCCAUCUACUCCUUCGGGAUUGCGGGGGGCGGAUGAUGGCCUCCCGUGCGCCUCGUCGCGCGGUUGGCAUAAAUGCCAAGUCCUCGGCGACACACGCCACGACAAUCGGUGGUUGCGAAACCUCGGUUGCCCGUCGUGUGCGGUCGUCGCGCAUCGAGGGCUCGAAAAAAUUGCCGGGCUCCGGCUCGGCUUUCAACGCGACCCCAGGUCAGGCGGGGUUACCCGCUGAAUUUAAGCAUAUCAAUAAGCGGAGGA